UACGGAGGGUGCAAGCGUUAUCCGGAUUCACUGGGUUUAAAGGGUGCGUAGGUGGGCAGGUAAGUCAGUGGUGAAAUCUCUGGGCUUAACCCGGAAACUGCCAUUGAUACUGGAGAGCUUGAGUCCGGAAGAGGUGAGUGGAACUCCGAGUGUAGAGGUGAAAUUCGUAGAUAUUCGGAAGAACACCAGUGGCGAAGGCGGCUCACUGGUCCGGUACUGACGCUGAUGUGCGAAAGCGUGGGGAGCAAACAGG
rnacentral:rRNA from 1 species